rnacentral:rRNA from 1 species
UAGGGAAUCUUCCACAAAUGGGACGCAGGUCUGAUGGAGCAACGCCGCGUGAGUGAAGAAGGUCUUCGGAUCGUAAAACUCUGUUGUUAGAGAAGAACACGAGUGAGAGUAACUGUUCAUUCGAUGACGGUAUCUAACCAGCAAGUCACGGCUAACUACGUGCUAG